UUAAAUCUAGUGAUAUUUGAUUGUCUUACACAAUUAGGAAACUAGGAUUUCUUUAUAUUGAUCUAUUAGGUAGUUUUUAUUUCAUGCAAUUGAGUUUCUAAGUAUCUUUUUAUUUUUGGAAGUUUACUCUCUUUAAGUGUAAGGCAAUUGGCCAUUGUUCAUGUUCAAUUAAUGAAGAAUAUUGAAAAGAAGAAUAAACCCUCAAACCCCUCACGAUUCUCUCUCUCUCUCGUUCUCUCAUCUUUCUCUCUCGCCUCUUUCCUCCCUUACUCUCUCGGCUCUCUCUUCUCUCAAUCUUCUUGUCUCGCCUCCCUCUCUUUCUUUUCAGUCUUAUCAAUUUUUUUUUCUGCUGCUGUGUUGUUAAUACUGCACCUGCUACCUUGCCUCAUUGCUGCUGCAACACAUUACUGGAGUUACAAAAUUGCUGCCGCUGCACCUGCUACCUUACCUCACUGCUGCUGCAACAUAUUCCUGCUGUUAUAAACUUGUUGCUGCAACAUAUUUCUGCCGGUACAAAACUGCACUGCUGCACACUGCUGCCUUUACACCACUGCUGCUACUCUCUCUACAAUUAGCUGGAUGUAUCUUCUUCAACAAAAGGUGGAAUACAACCUCUUUAUUUUGGAGAACCUGGAUUUCUUCUUCUCUCCUCAGAUCUGAAUAACAGUGUGGAGACCUAGUCAUCUAGGAACCCCUCCUACAUCAACUCUUCAAGAGGAAAUUCCAAAGAAUAUGGGAGAGCCACACGGUAUAAUAGUCUGUGUGUUGAAGAAAUCUCUCCAGCCAUGGCAAUGUAAUCAAAGUAAUCAAAGUAAUCAAGAAACUGAAGUUACCAAGGAAGAACUGGAUUGGUGUGUUGGUUUCCUUCAAGCUCAUAAUCAAAGUAAGGAAGAACUGGCUUGGUAACAGUUUCCUUCAAUCUCAUAAUACAAACUGGCAGAACACUAUGAAUUAUCUGGUCGUAUUGUAUUGAUGAUCUAAUUGUUUGGAGGUGUUAUGUGAUACAAUAUCUUUUCCCAUUUGGGAAGUCUAUACUGUUAUUUGAUAUAGUAUCCUUCCUCACUUGGGAAGUCUAUAUUUUCUAUCUCGUAUAUAUGGGAGUAUUAUGGCAUGUGAUAUCCCAGCUCAAUGCAAUCUUUUCUUACCUAUUGUAUACAUUGAUUGUGAUUCUAUUGUUGUAUUCUAUAUACUCCAAUUGGAGAAUGAUUAGUAUAUAAAAUACCAUUAACAUUAGCAUGGUAUCAGAGCCAUCCGCUCACGUCUAAUACAAAAGAGAAAAGAAAACCCUAAUUUCUUCUCUCCCAUGGUUGCUACCGAUCCAGUUGCCUUUGGUUCUCAAGUCACACCGAUUGCAAGGCCCUUGUCGUGCCCGCUAUCCUUGCCUCCACCCCUUCUCUACACUCUGCCCACCAUUACCUUUUUUUAAGUCGAAUCCCACAAACUUUCUCCUUUGGAGCACCCAGCUCACACCAUUCCUUCUUGGCCAGCAUCUUCUUCACUUUCUUGAUGGCAUGUACCCGUGUCCCAGCGAUCUCAUUACUAAUGCCCAAUGGCAGGAAUAAGAUGCCAAUUUUAUGAGUCUUCUCAUUGCUUCCCUCUCUGAGGAUGUCUUACCUCUCAUCAUUGAUAAGACAACGAGCAAGGAGAUAUGAGACUCGCUUGGUGCUACAUAUGGCUCCACCUUUGCAACACAACUCAUGAAUUUUCAUCUCAGCCUUCAGAACCUUCCAACAGAAGCCUAACGGAUCCAUCUCUGCCCUUCUCCAGCUUUCCAAGUCCAUUGCAGAUGAACUAGUUGCUGCCCGUCACCCUCUCUCCACUAUAGACUUUAAUCUCCAUGCCUAUCGUUCUUUAAGCACUAGUCUGUAGGACAUUGUUCUAACCCUACUAUGCUGUGAAAUUCAAUUGUCGUAUAUUGAUCUCAGAAGCUUGCUCACCAGUCAUGAAUUUCUCAAGCACAAUUCUCUCAACAAGUUGACCAUCAUUGACAGCUCGUCUCCUCCAAUUUCUAAUGCUGUUGAAAAGGAUCCUACUGACUCCUUUGCAUCUCAAUCUUUUAUUGGUAAGAGUUGUGAAAGCCAUGGUGGUCGUGGCCAUGGCCUUGGUGGUCGAUACUCUCAAUAUGAUGGUCGUGGCAAUCAGUGGUGCACUAUCUACAAUCGCAACAAUCACUUAGCUUAAAACUGUUGCUACCGCCUUUAGCCAACCAAACUACCCCUACUUUCAACCCAUCCUGCUACUCAUCUCACCUAUUCCCAGAUACCAUACCUCCCCUUCCCCUACCAUCAUCUAAAUCCACUACUCCUUCCCAUGCCACACCCCUCUACCACCCUCACCUGUACCCCGACAUGGGUGUCUCCCACCAUGUCAUCCCAAAUAUUAACUCUCCAUCCUCAUAUGAUGAGUAUACUAGAUUUGAUUAGGUUCAGGUUGGCAAUAGAAAGGGACUCUCAAUUGUUCAUGUAAAUAAUGCCACUCUUCCUUCCCCUUCAUCCUCUCUCUCAUUUUAUUUAUCUAAUAGUUUGCAUGUACCUUCUAUUUCCAAUCCUUUAUUAUCUAUUCAGAAAUUUUCUCGAGAUGAUAACGUUUUUUCAUUCCUCUCACUUUCUUGUGAAGGAUCAGGUCACCAAAGCAAUAAUGUUGUCUAGUCCGAGUAAAGGAGGCCUCUACACUCUCCAUCACUUCUCUUGUUCUCCUCCUUCUGCUGCCAUUGCUGAGCGUACCACACUUGAUGGUUGGCAUAGCCGUUUGGGUCAUCCUCAUGAUCAUUUACUUCGUCUUAUGCUUAAAACAAAUAAUUUACCAUACAAUUCUGCACGUCUUGAGGCAAAGCUUAUCAACUGUCUCUUCCAGUUUCUUAUAAUCGUAGUAUUUUUCCUUUAGAUCUUAUUUAUAGUGAUGUUUGGGGUCCCUCCCAUAUUUCUUCAUUAUCAUUGAACGACGCCAUUGUCAUAUCAGUGAGACAGGUCUCUCCCUUUUUGCUCAUGGGUCUGUUCUCCUUACCUAUUGGCACUUUGCUUUUGAGACUGUAGUUUUUCUCAUUAAUCGGAUGUCAUCCAAGGUGUAGUUUAACCUGUUUCCAGUUAGUGAAUCACAAGACCCCCAACUACUCUUUUCUUCGUGUUUUUGGGUGCCUCUGCUACCCUCUUCUUUAUCCUUACAAUAAGCAUAAAAUGGAUUUUCACUCUUCUCAUUGUGUCUUUGUUGGCUAUAGUUCCUCUCAUUCUGGUUACUGUUGCCUUGACCUCUCUUCCAAUAGAAUGUACGUUGCCCACCAUUUGCGCUUUGAUGAGUCUACAUUCCCAUUCACCUCAGCUUGUCUCCUUGUCUCUCCACAAAUUCCAUCCACAAUUCUCCUUUGGAUACUUGCUCCCCUACAUCAACCUCUGCCACCCACCCCACUAUUACCCAUGCCUCCUUCCCCUGUCUCCUUACACCCCAUCUAGUCGUCCCUUACCAUCGCCAUCGACACCUCUCCUGUGCACUCCACACCUCCCUCACCCACCAUACCCUCUCCUGUCAUAACCCCAUCAUCACCGCCUCCCCCUCCCCCACCACCACGCCCUCACCCAAUGACCUUGCGCCCUCACAAAAACCAAUCCCAAGCACUCACUGCCACCACCCCUAGUACUGACCCCAUUUUUUUUUAUAAAGGCAUCUAAGUCUUUAAAAUGGCGUGCUGAAAUGACAAAGGAAUUUAAUGCCUUGGUUUGGAAUGACACUUGGUCUCUUGUUCCUCGAGCCUUGGCUAUAAAUCUGGUUGGCUACAAGUGGGAAUAUAGGACCAAAUGGAAGGCACAUGGUCCCUUAAGCAUUACAUAGCUCGUCUAGUUGCCAAAGGCUUUCACUAACAACAUGAACUUGAUUACACAUAGACCUUUAGCCCCGUGAUCAAUGCCACCACCAUCAUGUCGGUUUUGGCCAUUGCUGUCUCGUAGGGUUGGUCCAUUAGACACUUGGAUGUCCAUAAUUCCUUCUUGUGCCAUCUACGUGAGGAGGUUUACCUGUCUUAGCCACUGAGUUUGUUUAUUCUAGCUGUCCUGAUCAUGUUUGCAAACAACACCAGUCCUUAUAUAGUAUUGAAUAGGCACCAUGUGCAUGGUUUCACAGCUUAUUGCAGCUCCUGAUUCUUUUGGGGUAUCAUGCUUCAAAAAUAGACCCCUCACUGUUUAUUCUCAAGAUCAGCUCUCAUGUUGUGUUUGCACUUGUUUACGUGGAUGGCAUCCUCGUGACAGAUAAUGAUUCUACAUAUGUUUUCCCUUCUACUUUGGCAUUUGGUAGAAGAAUUCUCUAUCAAGGAUUUCGAUGCCCUUCAUUUCUUCUUAGGCAUCAAAGUUCUCCCUCAAUCUAAAGGACUUCAGUUGUCUCAGUCACGCUACAUUACUGAUCCUCUAAAAAAAUAUGGCAUGAUUGAUUGCAAACUAGUGCAAACACCCAUGGCUACCAUAUAGAAAUGGACCUCUCAUAGUGGGCGCUCUCCAGUAUGUGACCCUCAUCUAUCAUGAUGUCGCUUUUGCGGUUUACAAGGCCUAUCGGUUUAUGCAUGCUCCAACUAAAGAUCAUUGGGUGCUUAUUAAAUGCAUCCUAAGGUAUUUAAAGUAGACCUUCGAUCAUGGCCUCCUCCUUGAAGGGUCUUCAUCUCACAAACUCAGGCUUUCUCUAAUGCUGACUAGGUUGGCAAUGGCAAGGAUCAUAAGUCUAUUGGGGGUUUCUCUAUCUUCCUUGGUCCGUACCUUAUUUGGUGGACAUCUCACAAGCAGAAAACCAUUGCACGGUCCUCCACUAAUGCUAAAUACAAGGCACUGGCUGAUGCCUCCGCUGAGCUCAUUUGGUUAGAGUUUCUCUUUGUUGAGCUUGGAUUCCCUCUACAUGGUUCCCCUCCACUUCAUGCUCGGACUAAGCAUGUUGAGGUCGAUUUUCAUUUGUCAGGGAUCGGGUUGCUAAACAACAACUAUCGGUUCAAUUCAUCUCCACCCAUGAUCAGCUAGCAAACAUUUUUACAAAGCCUUUGGCAGCCUCACGUUUUCAAUUCUUAUGGGAUAAGUUGAAGAUUCAAAGUUUCGAUUCUCCACCUUGGGGGGUUGUGUUAUUCGAUACAAUUUCUUUACCUACUUGGGAAGUCUAUAUUGUUAUCCGUUACAGUAUCCUUCCCCACUUGGGAAGUCUAUAUUCUCUAUCUAGUAUAUAUAGAAGUAUUAUCAUAUGUAAUAUCCCAGUUCAAUGCAAUCCCUUCUUACCUAUUGUAUAGAUUGAUUAAUAUUCUAUUGUUGUACUCUAUAUAUGCUCCAAUUGGAGAAUGACUAAUAUAUGAAAUACCAUUAAAAUUAGCAAGAGGAUUGUAAGAAAAGUGAGGAGCAGAUGUCUUGAUAAAAGAAAAAGCAGCAAAUGAGAUAAUUUCAUAAUAAAUUUUGGAAUUUCCACAUCCAAAGUCUAUUUUGGUGGUGUUGAGACAUGAAUAGUCCCCAUAAAAAACCAUCCAUCUUGUUGGAAGUGUGUUCAUCAAAUCCAAUGAUCAAAUAAAGUGUUUAAUUUUAUUUCAAUCACUGUGUGGAUCGAAGGGAGGAAAUCCUAUGUGCAUCACCCCUCGAGCGGCUUGGACACCCCACUGUUAAUGGAUUCAUGUUCAUCAUGGGUACAAAGAAAUUUGGUCCUUAUUUUAUUAUGUAUAACAUAAGCGGGUUGUGAAUUAUAUGUAACAUUUUUACAUGUAAUGAGCUUAACACAAUUAUUGUA